rnacentral:rRNA from 1 species
AUACGGAGGGUGCAAGCGUUACUCGGAAUCACUGGGCGUAAAGCGCGCGCAGGCGGGCUGAUAAGUUGGAUGUGAAAGCCUACGGCUCAACCGUAGAACUGCAUCCAAAACUGUCAGUCUAGAGUGUGGGAGAGGGAGAUGGAAUUAGUUGUGUAGGGGUAAAAUCCGUAGAGAUAACUAGGAAUACCAAAAGCGAAGGCAAUCUUCUGGAACACUACUGACGCUGAGGCGCGAAGGCGUGGGGAGCAAACAGGAUUAGAAACCCGAGUAGUCC